UGCAAAUUAUGUUUUUCCUCAUGAUGGUCUUCCAAGCCCAUGUGGCUCUGACGACACUGCAUAAUGGCUAUAUUGAUGCAGUUUG
ensembl:snoRNA